rnacentral:rRNA from 1 species
CGGCCGCGUUAGCGUGAGCGUGCUAAGGUAGCGUAAUAAAUAGCCUCUUAAUUGGAGGCCAGUGAAUGGCAAGACUAGGGAUAUCUGUCCCUGUAUAAAAAAACAACUUUUCAUUUGGGUGAAAAGACCCACAUAAUAAAGGAAGACGAAAAGACCCCGNNGAGCUUUACCUUUUCCAGUACUAACAUGCUCAGAAACAUGAAAACGAAAGGUUUGAUUGGGGCAAUCUUGGAACCAACCAAACUUCCAACUUACUAUAAUAAAGAUAUAAAACUUAAUAAGAACNAAAAAGAAGCUACCCCAGGGAUAACAGCGUAAUCCAACUUGAGAGUACACAUCGAAAGCUGGGUUUGCGACCUCGAUGUUGGCUUAAGG